GGGUGCCAUGUUGCCACAGGACAAGGCCCAAGAUGGUGUUUUGGGCAGUAGCAUCAGGCACAGGCCAGCGCUUCUGACCUUUGCUUCUGAAAACGGCUGUUGCUUCUUUCACCCCCCCUGGACUAAAGGAGAUGCCUGGUGUUCCCUUGCUGUUUCUGCCCAGAAGAGAAGCUACUAGUACAGCAGGCUGUGGAGUGAGCCCAGCAACAACUGAGACCACGUCCACCAACAAAUCCAGCCCUCCAACGUGCUUUGAAGUGUCUCAUGAGUGACAUGAGGCAGAGACUCUCUUAGAUUCCAAAACUUGUCCUGGUGAUUGUCAUCUGAGUUAUUAAGAAAACACAGAAUAUGCUCAGUGAAAUGAACCUGAGUAUUCCAGUCAGAGAAUUAACUGAGCUUCUUUUAAAUGUGAAAUGCGUGUUGUUUCUUCUUCUCUGGCCUUAAGCAUGUGGGAAAGAAGAUCAUUUCUAAGCAAAGGGAAAAGGAAAUUGUCUCAUAUUUAUUAAAUCCUUUUCCUAUCAGGAAGUAUGCAUCAGGAUUAUAUGCUUGGCAAGCAAGAGUACAUAUUUUGGCACAUUUUUCUCUUUGUAACUUUAACAGCCUGCCAGCAUUGCAGGCAGCACUAGCAGCAGUCUGUCCCAGACAGUUUUGAUUAUAAAUCCCAGUCUCUGCAGCAGGGCAGAGAGCUCUAUGGGGAUGGGUACUGUUUGGUCUCCUUGGCUCCUUUUCCUACCCAAGUGCACUGGGAAAAGAGGGGGUAGGGGAUAGAUGGAGAAGGCAAGAUGAUGGUCGUGCUUCUGGUAACUCCCUCUGCAUCCUAGUUAAGUAUCCUGUGAGUAAAUAUCCUGUGUAAAUUUGAGGAGAGUCCAGGCUUGUUGUGAUGGAGCCGAUGGUCUGCAAUCUAAUUGUAUCUGGAAGAUCUCCAAUAAACCAUUGUUUGAGUGCAACAACCCCCAGAAUUACAAAUGGCAUUGCCCACACAGGCAUUCCAGAAAUUGUGGACACAGUCUUUUCUUGGUUAUCAAAUGAAAAGUUAAAGGGUAAAUAUCUUUUAAAGUUCUGUUGGGACCAAACAUAAUGUUGUGAACUUUAAUCCUCCGUCAGUGCUCAGAUCUGUAUUGCUAAUUUUGCCAUUUGAGGUGGCAGUGUCUUCUCCAUUUACACAAGAAGGAAGAAAAAAAUAGCUGAGCAUCAUUAUGCUUGCUCAUAGUGAAGAUUUUCUGUGAGAGUGAUGGCCAUGCUGCUGAAAUAACUUACAUUUUUAAAAUAAAUAAAAUAAAUAAAUAAAAUGGAAUUACGAAGGGAGGCAAUUGAGGAAGAGUAGAUGUCCUUGUAUGGGAAAGAUUCUGAGGAAAAGGGUGAAUGUCCAACUAUCUUCUUGUUUUCAAGAAUAAUUUAGUACCUUUAGUGCUUGUUUCUUUCAGAAACUCAAAGUGAUUACAUAAGCAUGCUUAAUAAGGUAGCUAAAGUGUUACAUUAAUACAGUUUGAGUAUUAUGUUGACUUCUUGUUCUUCUAAGUCAUUUGAGUAGAAUGCAGUUCUGAAAUUUUAUGGGAACGUUCCAUCUACAAAUCUAUUUUAUCAUCAUUCUGUGGAAUGAACAUGGAGAGCAGCAAAUAAUGGAAUUUCAUAUGUUUUUCCAACUUAUGCCUUCAAGCAACUUUUAUUGCAUUUAAAACUUGUUUUAAAAUGAGUAAAGCUUACAUAUUAAAAUCUAGGAUAUUCCCUUUAAUAUUGAAAUUAAUGUUUUUAGUGGAAGAGAAAUGUAUAAGGAAUAUUUUUACUAAUUUUUUUGAUUGUGAACUGAUUUUAUGAAGCAAUUAAAUUACAUAUUUGGGUUUUGGUUAAGAUGGGUUUUUUUCUGGAAAUAUUUUUUUUAAAGCCAGCCAGUUUCUUCUAACACUUAAGGAGAUUUAAAGUUAGUAUUUUAACAAAAAAUGGAAGCUUAUCUACUGACAUUCUUUUUAACUUCAUGUAAGCUAUCUACAUUGGGGUCUGUUUUUAUGGCAUGUAAAUUUCCUGUCUACCUAUUUGGUUGAGUAAAAUGCCUGACACAAAUUGUUGGUGCUCUUAGCUUAGUUUUAUUAUAUCUGUUGGUCUGUGGUUUGAUCUCGGGUGUAACUUUUUUAAGUCUGGAAUAAGGAAAGCUGAAGUUACCAAGAGUGAAAACUUUGGUUACCAUGCAUAUAGAAGCUACUCUUUGUAAUGCAAAGGAAUUGGUUUAACAAAACAAAUUAUUUCUUUUUCCUCAAGGGCAAACUGAA